ensembl:lncRNA
AUAAAUGUUUAAUGAAAUUCUGAGUCUCCUAAGAUGUUGGCUUUAUAGCUUUCUGGCUCAGAAAGUGACAUUUGCGAGGGUGAGAAGGUAAUGAAAUGGCUGAAAUUACUGCAGGCAGCUUUAGUCAAUCAGGAAAUAAAAAUACUCUGUCCCUCUAUUGCUCAAUGUGAAUGACCCAUUAGGAAGGCUAAAUGGGGCUUUGAAAAAAUCUGUACCUGCUUCAUCUUGCUUUUAGUCCUGUUCAGUGAGCAUGAAGCGGUGGGAGAGAUAGCUGAAAUAGGAGGGAAACCCAGUUCAGGGGAGAAAGACCCGAGUGUAACUUCUCCCCGAAAAUGAAGUUUGUUUUCCACCACCAGGCCAGCACGCUGCAGAUUCUGGUCUGGCAUGCCUAUGGUGGGAAGAUCAGAGGUCUGGUCUCUCUACUGGAGCAAUUGUCCUGACAAGCCUAGAAAAAUGACCUCAGGGGUGGAAAAAGCUGGCAGCUGCUUCUAGAUGAGAAGACUGAGCUCAAGAAAACUCAGAAAAGAAAAAAAAGCAAAGAAAAAAAGAAACCUUCCCCAGGAUAGUACAGUUGCCCCAACACCUGUAAUGUUUUUAUUUAUUUUCCAAACAAGUUGGGUCCACUUUGUCCAGAAUAUUGGGUCCUCUUGAACGUUCAGGUUGGAGAUCACAUACCACCUCCUUAUAGAAGUCUCUCAUCCAAAGUAGCAUUGUGUGCCCACCGGUACACAGAAGAAUGAGUAAACAGAGGCAUCUCAUGGUCAUGCUCACUCCCUAAAGUUGCUCCCCUCAUCCCCAAAGCCCGGAAUGAUUUCCUCACCUGGAUCAAGUCCUCUUUGACCCCCGAGGGUGCCACCUUCUCUGAACACAUGAGCCGGUCUGUCCUCCCCUGACAAGCGGCUCCAGUCCUGAUGUGAUCUCUUCCUCUCACUCUCGCCUUUCAGUUCUCUGGGCUGGGUGGACAGAACUAAGACACAGUCCUCCCUCCACUUGCAGGGGAAGCAGAUACAUUCGUAGCCGACAAGGCCAACACAGGGGGAGAGCCACGGACCAGGGACACAUGUGGCCACUGGGGCAGCACCCAGAGCAAAAAUAAAGAUACAUGUGCAAGGUUGAGGGUUGGCUCAGUAGAGCGAAGCCAAGGAAGAGAUGUGGCCUCGAACCGAUCGAAAUUCAACAUCAACAUUUUCUGAAAGGUGCACCGUGGUGCUGGUUUCAACUGCUGGCACCAUCAAGCGGUGGUUAUGUGACCUUGGGAAAAUGGCACAACCUUCCAGCUCCAGUUUCCACCUAGGUAAAAAUCCCACCCGUCUCAGGGCGUCAUUGUGAGGAUUAAAAUGAAAUACCUUAAGACCAUAACGGUAAGGGAAAUAAAUCAGACAUAUAAGUUUAGAUAUGGCAUGGUUUCUCUUAUUCGAGAAAUGCAAAUUAUAAAUAAAGAGCAAAAUAAAAGAUAGACAACAGGAAGUAGGGAGACACUGUAGAUCUUUCUCACAUUGGAAGGGGAUCAAGAGAUGGAGGGUGGGGCUGGGGAUUUAGCUCAGUGGUUCCGGCGCCUGCCUAGCAAGCGCAAGGUCCCGAGUUCAAUCCCUGGUACCAAAAAAAAAAGAGAGAGAGAGAAAUAGAGGGAGGAAGGAGAAAGGGGAGGGGAAGGAGAUGAAAAGGGAGAAAUAAGGUGUGUUAUAUACAUGUACCAAUUCUAUACAGAGAAUGUAAACUUUAUAUGCUGCAAACAUGUACUAAUAAAAAAUAAAUGAACAAAAUACAAAAAAUGAAAUAAUGUGUGCACAGUGGUUAGCUCUAUUUCUGGCAUAUAAUAUACAGUUAGUAAAUGGUACUUCUAAUUAUUAUUUUGUCGUUUUGGG